UAUGCGGGUUUUUCUUUGAAAACGCGGGCGAAGCCGCGGGCGGAAAGCUAGUAUUUUUAUAUGUAUGUAGGGUCGAGUGGUCAACAAUGAACCAGCAGUACAGAGUGAACCAUGUAAAUAAUUCAGAAAUGUGACGUUGCCAUUUGGUGCAAACUGCAUUAGGUAAGCGCCUUUGAGGCCCCUCCCGCCUUCCCCAGUCGACAGUGAGCUAGCGGCGCGGGAGGCCGUGCGAGCCCGUGUUUGGUGUUUUCGAGCCGAAAAUUGUAUAAAAAUAACGAUGGGCCGAUCAAAAUAAGAUAGAUCUGCUAG